UACGGAGGGGGGCUAGCGUUUGUUCGGAAUUACUGGGCGUAAGGCGCACGUAGGCGGCUUUGUAAGUUAGAGGUGAAAGCCCAGGGCUUAACCCUGGAAUUGCCUUUAAGACUGCAUCGCUAGAAUCGUGGAGAGGUGAGUGGAAUUCCGAGUGUAGAGGUGAAAUUCGUAGAUAUUCGGAAGAACACCAGUGGCGAAGGCGACUCACUGGACACGUAUUGACGCUGAGGUGCGAAAGCGUGGGGAGCAAACAGG
rnacentral:rRNA from 1 species